UCGAGCGGAGCGAAGGUACGCUCUGCUACUGGACCUAGCGGCGGACGGGUGAGUAAUGCUUAGGAAUCUGCCUAUUAGUGGGGGACAACAUCUCGAAAGGGAUGCUAAUACCGCAUACGUCCUACGGGAGAAAGCAGGGGAUCUUCGGACCUUGCGCUAAUAGAUGAGCCUAAGUCGGAUUAGCUAGUUGGUGGGGUAAAGGCCUACCAAGGCGACGAUCUGUAGCGGGUCUGAGAGGAUGAUCCGCCACACUGGGACUGAGACACGGCCCAGACUCCUACGGGAGGCAGCAGUGGGGAAUAUUGGACAAUGGGGGGAACCCUGAUCCAGCCAUGCCGCGUGUGUGAAGAAGGCCUUAUGGUUGUAAAGCACUUUAAGCGAGGAGGAGGCUACUCUAGUUAAUACCUAGGGAUAGUGGACGUUACUCGCAGAAUAAGCACCGGCUAACUCUGUGCCAGCAGCCGCGGUAAUACAGAGGGUGCGAGCGUUAAUCGGAUUUACUGGGCGUAAAGCGUGCGUAGGCGGCUUAUUAAGUCGGAUGUGAAAUCCCCGAGCUUAACUUGGGAAUUGCAUUCGAUACUGGUGAGCUAGAGUAUGGGAGAGGAUGGUAGAAUUCCAGGUGUAGCGGUGAAAUGCGUAGAGAUCUGGAGGAAUACCGAUGGCGAAGGCAGCCAUCUGGCCUAAUACUGACGCUGAGGUACGAAAGCAUGGGGAGCAAACAGGAUUAGAUACCCUGGUAGUCCAUGCCGUAAACGAUGUCUACUAGCCGUUGGGGCCUUUGAGGCUUUAGUGGCGCAGCUAACGCGAUAGUAGACCGCCUGGGAGUACGGUCC
rnacentral:rRNA from 1 species